rnacentral:rRNA from 1 species
AGAGUUUGAUCCUGGCUCAGAACGAACGCUGGCGGCGUGCCUAACACAUGCAAGUCGAACGAGAAAAUCCCCUUCGGCGGGAGAAUAAAGUGGCACACGGGAGAAUAACGCGUGGAUAAUCUGCCUUUAAUCGGGAAAUAACUUACCGAAAGGUGGGCUAAUACCCCAUAAAGCUAUGGAACUCCGGUUUUCAUAACCGAAGAUAACCUCUGCAUGCAACCCCUCACUUAGAAAUGACUCCUCGUACCAUUACCUAGUUGGUGGGGUAAUGGCCUACCAAGGCAACAAUGGUUAGCUGGUCUGAGAGGAUGAUCAGCCUCACUGGAACUGAGACACGGUCCAGACUCCUACGGGAGGCAGCAGUGAGGAAUAUUGCGCAAUGGGGGCAACCCUGACGCAGCAACGCCGCGUGAGUGAGGAAGCUUUUCGGAUCGUAAAGCUCUGUCGGGCGGGAAGAAAUGUAUGGAGGUUAACAGCCUUUGUACUUGACGGUACCCCCAAAGGAAGCACCGGCUAACUCCGUGCCAGCAGCCGCGGUAAUACGGGGGGUGGUAGCGUUGUUCGGAAUCAUUGGGCGUAAAGAGCGCGUAGGCGGUUAGGCAAGUCAGAUGUGAAAUCCCUGGGCUCUAACCCGAGGACGUGCAUUCGAAACUGCCUUGGCUUGAGUAGGGAAGAGGAAAGUGGAAUUCCUGGUGUAGAGGUGAAAUUCGUAGAUAUCAGGAGGAACACCGGUGGCGAAGGCGACUUUCUGGUCCUAUCCUGACGCUGAGACGCGAGAGCCUGGGGAGCAAACAGGAUUAGAUACCCUGGUAGUCC